GCAAUAACCUCAGUGCAUAAUAUGUUUGCGCCAUUUUGUCCCAGACGAAUUACAAUAACAGAAAUGCAUAAACAAGCUUCAAGGCUAUACUACGACUCUUUCAGUACACAAUAUACUGUGGUAACCCCAAGUUAAUGGAACUUCCCCAAAUCCGGGAAUCUCCCACGACUGUGCACUUACGACUUAGUAUAAACAACAGAUAAGCUAUUCAGACUUUAAGAUGCCAUCUUGAACUAAGUCAGGAAAAUUUCCAUGACGUAUGCAC
rnacentral:lncRNA from 1 species